UACGAAGGGGGCUAGCGUUGUUCGGAAUCACUGGGCGUAAAGGGCGCGUAGGCGGCUUUAUAAGUCGGGGGUGAAAGCCUGUGGCUCAACCACAGAAUUGCCUUCGAUACUGUAGAGCUUGAGACCGGAAGAGGUAAGUGGAACUGCGAGUGUAGAGGUGAAAUUCGUAGAUAUUCGCAAGAACACCAGUGGCGAAGGCGGCUUACUGGUCCGGUUCGUGACGCUGAGGCGCGAAAGCGUGGGGA
rnacentral:rRNA from 1 species